UGGAAAAUAAAGGGCAUACCAAGUUCAUGGCAGUGUAAAGGACAGAUUUUCCAAAGUCCAUUAGUAUCUAUAUCAGGACACCUCAGAUUUAUAGCACAUAUAUAGCCAUCUACCACAGAAAAUCAUGUUUAACCAUCAUUUUUCUAAAUUGUCUUUGUUGUCAUUUAAUUUCAUAAUACUGUGUUUCCUCAUCGAGAGUGUUCUGUUUAAAUAGGAAAGUUUGCUCUGGCCGGUGGGCGGUACUUGGUUUUUGCUUGACUGUUUUCAGUAUGACAGCCAGGUCACAAGCUUGUCAUUUUACAGCUAAACAGUACACUAAAAUAUGUUGAAACAUGUUGAUAAAAACAUUUGAGGAGAUAAAAGGCAAUGCAGUGACAGAAUCAUGAUUCAUAUUUGAUCAGCACUGUCUAGUUUGAGAGUUUGGAUCGGGUUUGCAAAAAUCACAUCACAUGUCCAAGCAUUUUAAAAUCAAUCUAGAUAUAAUCUGUAUCUGCCAAAAACCUGAUUUGGGUUGGCGGCAUGAACAAGGACAGAGAGAGCUCAACUGUGCACUGUAAACCCGAACACUACUACUAACUCAAAAGUAUUGUGAAACAACAAUCAAAAUCCGCUAUCAAGUCAACCCAACUUUAAGUUACUAAGUGUUCCGAAGGAGGAAUGCAGUUAUAAUUUUGUGCUACUUAAAUUGUCUGAGUGAUCAUCACGAUCUUACUCAAAAUCUUUGAAUGCACGGAGGCGUGCAACGUAAUGACGUCAGUGCGUCAUUACGUUGGCGGGACCGAACGAGGCAAAAUCAAACCAACAUGGCGGUCGUGAAGCGAGGGGAGUGUAUCGACUGCUGAAGUUAAGAAAACUUGCUGGUCUGUCCCUGUCCGCAAGUCUGUCCUUGUUGGCUGAAAUCUGUCCCCUCCUGUCCCUGUCAGCUGAAGUUGGUACCCAGCACAAGGCAUUCUUAGCAAACAAGGCAAGUCUGUCCUGUCGGCUGAAGUCUGUCCCUAUCGGCUGGUCUGUCCCCGUCGGCUGAAAUCUGUGCCUGUCGGCUGAAGUCUGUCCCUGUCGGCGGAAGUCUGUCGCUGUCGGCUGAAAUCUGUCGCUGUCGGCUGAAAUCUGUCCCUGUCGGCUGAAAUCUGUCCCUGUCGGCUCAAGUCUGUCCCAUGCCGGCUGAAGUUGGUACCCAGCACAAGACAUCCUUGGCAAACAAGGUAUUGUUUAUGUUCAUUUUUGAUGUAAAGAUGUAUCCAUUGAAUUUAAUGUUGCUGAUAAUUGUCUUUGCUUUUAAUUGUAUUUUUUGGUGAGCCCGAUAAUGCUGUUUUCUAUGUUUAAAGGGAUAAAAGAAAUAACUAUGCCAUCCUUAGUUGUUAAGAGAUUAGAUUAACUAUAGGCUACAUUGUACAGUUGUUUAGUCUUUUUUGUCAGAAAAAUAAUAGCUUAAUAAAUAGCUUAGUCCACCGCAUUUAACAAAGAUUGGAAAGGGUUCACAAUCUGUGUUUUAAAAUGUAUAAAUUACUUCAUUUAUUUCUAGCUAAAAUAUUCUAAUUAGAAAUUUGGACUGCAUUGUUUGAGUGGUUUCAGAGUACUAUUUUUUUAUGUCAUCCCACAGGAUCAA